rnacentral:rRNA from 1 species
UACGUAGGGGGCGAGCGUUGUCCGAAGUUACUGGGCGUAAAGAGUACGUAGGUGGCUUGUUAAGAUACAUCUGAAAGGUGACAGCUCAACUGUCAAUGGUGGUGUAAGACUGGCAGGCUUGAGGCAAGCAGAAGAGUGUGGAACUCCGAGUGUAGCGGUGGAAUGCGUAGAGAUUCGGAAGAACACCCAUGGCGAAGGCAGCACUCUGGGCUUGAACCGCAAGGUGAACCUGACACUGAGGUAGCGAAAGCCAGGGGAGCGAACGGG